rnacentral:rRNA from 1 species
UACGUAGGGGGCUAGCGUUGUCCGGAUUUAUUGGGCGUAAAGAGCGUGUAGGCGGCCAGGUAGGUCUGCUGUGAAAACUCGAGGCUCAACCUCGAGACGUCGGCGGAAACCAUCUGGCUAGAGUCCGGAAGAGGAGAGUGGAAUUUCUGGUGUAGCGGUGAAAUGCGCAGAUAUCAGGAAGAACACCCGUGGCGAAGGCGGCUCUCUGGGACGGUACUGACGCUGAGACGCGAAAGCGUGGGGAGCGAACAGG